rnacentral:rRNA from 1 species
CAUGCAAGUCGAGGGGAAACGACAUCGAAAGCUUGCUUUUGAUGGGCGUCGACCGGCGCACGGGUGAGUAACGCGUAUCCAACCUGCCCACCACUUGGGGAUAACCUUGCGAAAGUAAGACUAAUACCCAAUGAUAUCUCUAGAAGACAUCUGAAAGAGAUUAAAGAUUUAUCGGUGAUGGAUGGGGAUGCGUCUGAUUAGCUUGUUGGCGGGGUAACGGCCCACCAAGGCGACGAUCAGUAGGGGUUCUGAGAGGAAGGUCCCCCACAUUGGAACUGAGACACGGUCCAAACUCCUACGGGAGGCAGCAGUGAGGAAUAUUGGUCAAUGGACGAGAGUCUGAACCAGCCAAGUAGCGUGCAGGAUGACGGCCCUAUGGGUUGUAAACUGCUUUUAUAAGGGAAUAAAGUGAGUCUCGUGAGACUUUUUGCAUGUACCUUAUGAAUAAGGACCGGCUAAUUCCGUGCCAGCAGCCGCGGUAAUACGGAAGGUCCGGGCGUUAUCCGGAUUUAUUGGGUUUAAAGGGAGCGUAGGCCGGAGAUUAAGCGUGUUGUGAAAUGUAGAUGCUCAACAUCUGCACUGCAGCGCGAACUGGUUUCCUUGAGUACGCACAAAGUGGGCGGAAUUCGUGGUGUAGCGGUGAAAUGCUUAGAUAUCACGAAGAACUCCGAUUGCGAAGGCAGCUCACUGGAGCGCAACUGACGCUGAAGCUCGAAAGUGCGGGUAUCGAACAGGAUUAGAUACCCUGGUAGUCCGCACGGUAAACGAUGGAUGCCCGCUGUUGGUCUGAAUAGGUCAGCGGCCAAGCGAAAGCAUUAAGCAUCCCACCUGGGGAGUACGCCGGCAACGGUGAAACUCAAAGGAAUU